AUUGAACGCUGGCGGCAUGCUUUACACAUGCAAGUCGAACGGUAACAGGCCUUCGGGUGCUGACGAGUGGCGAACGGGUGAGUAAUGCAUCGGAACGUGCCCAAUCGUGGGGGAUAACGUAGCGAAAGUUACGCUAAUACCGCAUAAGCCCUGAGGGGGAAAGCAGGGGAUCGCAAGACCUUGCGCGAAAUGGAGCGGCCGAUGUCAGAUUAGCUAGUUGGUGGGGUAAAGGCCUACCAAGGCGACGAUCUGUAGCGGGUCUGAGAGGAUGAUCCGCCACACUGGGACUGAGACACGGCCCAGACUCCUACGGGAGGCAGCAGUGGGGAAUUUUGGACAAUGGGCGCAAGCCUGAUCCAGCCAUGCCGCGUGCGGGACGAAGGCC
rnacentral:rRNA from 1 species